rnacentral:rRNA from 1 species
UACAGAGGUGGCAAGCGUUGUUCGGAAUUACUGGGCGUAAAGGGCGCGUAGGCGGCCAUCUAAGUCAGACGUGAAAUCCCCCGGCUUAACCUGGGAAUGGCAUUUGGGACUGCAAGGCUGGAGUGCGGCAGAGGAGACUGGAAUUCCUGGUGUAGCAGUGAAAUGCGUAGAUAUCAGGAGGAACACCGAUGGCGAAGGCAGGUCUCUGGGCUGACACUGACGCUCAUGCACGAAAGCGUGGGGAGCAAACAGG